CCGCCAACGGCGAGCGUGGUGUCCCAUCUCUACUAUGGUGGUACAAUACUUUCCUCAGAUCCGUCUCGGUGGAAACCCGAUGCAGGUGCUAUUAGUGAAAGGAUUGGAGACUGGUUCUAGCGGUGGUUGGUUUGUUUGAGGAAUUCCUAGUGCUCGUGAUUUGUAAAGGGUUUCAGCCAGGGCAAGUAAUUAUCAGCUGAGCAAAGGCUACAACAUGUUAGGAGGAGAAGUUUGAAU